GGUGAACGCUGGCGGCGUGCCUAACACAUGCAAGUCGAGCGGUGCAGUUUGAAGCUUCGGUGGAAAGCUGCAUAGCGGCGGACGGGUGAGGAAAACGUAGGAACGUGCCCCUUGGAGUUGGAUAGCCACGGGAAACUGUGGGUAAACCGACAUAGACUCGAGAGAGUAAAGGCCGAAAGGCGCCAAGGGAGCGGCCUGCGGCCCAUCAGGUAGUUGGUAGUGUAAAGGACUACCAAGCCGACGACGGGUAGCCGGUCUGAGAGGAUGGCCGGCCACAAGGGCACUGAGAGACGGGCCCUACUCCUACGGGAGGCAGCAGUGGGGGAUUUUGGACAAUGGGCGAAAGCCUGAUCCAGCGACGCCGCGUGGAGGACGAAGCCCUUUCGGGGUGUAAACUCCUUUUCUCAGGGAAAAAGGAUGAUGGUACCUGAGGAAUAAGCCCCGGCUAACUACGUGCCAGCAGACCGCGGUAAAGCUACGUAGA
rnacentral:rRNA from 1 species